GAAAGGAAGAGGGAGGCCAGAGAAAGAGAAGAGGAAGGAGAAAAAAAGAGUGGCCAGGCGGGAGAGGGAAGGAGAAGCCGAGAACUACUGACGCAAGGGGAAAAAGGGGAAGAAGAGAGAGGCGGAGCAGGAGAGCGAUGGAAACCGAGGUAAAAGGAAGAAGGAGGAAGAGGAAAUGACCCGAGGCACCGUGCGGCGAUGGAGACUGACGCGAACAAGGCGUGAAAAUCAUCAUUCCAAUCGUAAGCAAGCCAGGGAGCCGCAGAGUGGCCGAGAGUAAACUACUGGGAGCCAAACUGAGGCCAAAUCGGCCCAUGCCGGAAAGGAAAUUAGGACGUUCAAGUGGAUCUAGAAUGAUUGUUGCGUAGGAUUGUAAGUAUUUCUUAUUCUGAACCUGGAUUAGGAUUUUUAAAUUUUCAUGUAUUUUAUUAAUUUAUGUGUAUUUUAAAAUUUAAACGAAUACUAACCCGAUUUUUGAAGAAGAACAGAACUCGAACCUAUAAACCAGUGAACCUAAACUAUUGAAAAUUAUGAGGAGACAGAAACUAGAAAACAAACCUAAAGAUUGAGAAAUACUUGG